rnacentral:ncRNA from 4 species
AUCAUAGUGUUGAAGAGGAAGAGUAGAGUAGAAACCAUUCUCAGAGAAUUUGGGUCUAUGGCUGAGAGCCCAUGUAAUAGGUCUAUUUGAAAACUACCUUGGAGCUGAGCUUUAUUAGCAGUAUUUGUAUUUAUACUAUAUGUGAAAGUGCUCGGGUGACGACCUUAUAGUCAUCAAGAGGGUUGUAUAUACUUGUAUACGCCAACUUGGGUGGAACCGCGAAUUAAUAUCGUCCCAAAU